rnacentral:rRNA from 1 species
GGUGCGCUGCUAUAAUGCAGUCGAGCGGACAGAUGGGAGCUUGCUCCCUGAAGUCAGCGGCGGACGGGUGAGUAACACGUGGGCAACCUGCCUGUAAGACUGGGAUAACUCCGGGAAACCGGGGCUAAUACCGGAUAAUUCUUUCCCUCACAUGAGGGAAAGCUGAAAGAUGGUUUCGGCUAUCACUUACAGAUGGGCCCGCGGCGCAUUAGCUAGUUGGUGAGGUAACGGCUCACCAAGGCAACGAUGCGUAGCCGACCUGAGAGGGUGAUCGGCCACACUGGGACUGAGACACGGCCCAGACUCCUACGGGAGGCAGCAGUAGGGAAUCUUCCGCAAUGGACGAAAGUCUGACGGAGCAACGCCGCGUGAGUGAUGAAGGUUUUCGGAUCGUAAAACUCUGUUGUUAGGGAAGAACAAGUACCGGAGUAACUGCCGGUACCUUGACGGUACCUAACCAGAAAGCCACGGCUAACUACGUGCCAGCAGCCGCGGUAAUACGUAGGUGGCAAGCGUUGUCCGGAAUUAUUGGGCGUAAAGCGCGCGCAGGCGGUUCCUUAAGUCUGAUGUGAAAGCCCCCGGCUCAACCGGGGAGGGUCAUUGGAAACUGGGGAACUUGAGUGCAGAAGAGAAGAGUGGAAUUCCACGUGUAGCGGUGAAAUGCGUAGAGAUGUGGAGGAACACCAGUGGCGAAGGCGACUCUUUGGUCUGUAACUGACGCUGAGGCGCGAAAGCGUGGGGAGCAAACAGGAUUAGAUACCCUGGUAGUCCACGCCGUAAACGAUGAGUGCUAAGUGUUAGAGGGUUUCCGCCCUUUAGUGCUGCAGCAAACGCAUUAAGCACUCCGCCUGGGGAGUACGGCCGCAAGGCUGAAACUCAAAGGAAUUGACGGGGGCCCGCACAAGCGGGGGGAGCAUGGGGGUUAA